UCCCCGCUCGACGAAGUACCGGGCGUCACUCCACCUGUGGCGUGGGGAUGCUGCCCUCCGGCUCCGCCUCCGCGGUGGGCAG
rnacentral:tRNA from 1 species